CGCCUGUGCGUUGGAGCUCGAGUAUUCUAGAUCGGUCCAUUUGGUCCUGGACGCUGCUGGAGAGCUGUGCUGCGCCGCGUCCGCUCCUACCUUACCAGAGAACAAGUCUCCAAGUCAGUGGUUCACCAUGACGGCCGCUACGCCCGCCAAGCCGCCUCCACCAGAAAAGAAAAAGACCAAGCCCAAGCGUCGCAAGCGCAGCCAGAAGAAGAAGCAGAAGGAGAACGGCCAGACAGCCCAAUUCAACUACAUCAUGGAGCGCCCGCCGUUCAUGGAAGUUGAAAAUUAAGUUUUCAACGACUAUGCCGUAGUACGCAGAAAUGCGACUACCCUUGUUACGCACUCGUUUUAUUUAUGUAUCUACUUCUACCGGACAGUACGCGGGGAAAUGAUCUCAAGACUAAUUAAGUGGGGAGUUCCGCUGCUGGAAGCGGUAGAUUGCAGCGAUGCUGUGGACAUCAAUCAAGAGGAGGGGUGUGAACAUCACGUUUUGCUGUGUGAAGAUCACGGAGAGAUUACAUGAGAUCAGUUUACAUAAGGGUUCGUCACAAUCACUGGGGGAGGACAUGAGGAGGACUAUUAUCAGGCGACAUCUUGCAGUUGUUUUGUUUGAAGAAGUAGAUACUAGCUUGAUAUCGUUCUAAGUAGAUUAGGUAGGUACUGAUUCAGGUACCGGUACGCUUUCGAAUUGUUAAUUUUGUCAGUGUUGUGAAUUUUUUGAUUAUAAUAUAUGCAUCGUAGCUGAAUAA